AGCUAGGAUUACAGGCAUGAGCCACCGCGCCUGGCCAAAAGCAACAAUUUUUUAGAAAACUGGAUAUGGGAAUAUAUCAUGUACCUAAAAGGCAUCAGCUGGUGUUUUUGCUGCCUGAUGUUUUAACUACUUGGGAAAUUCAAGGUGUUGGCAUUUCAGAUAAAGGUCUGUGUGUUGCUGAUGUGCUGCAAUUGCAGGUAUAUAAAGACCACUUCCUGGUCAUAAAUUACGAUAUUAUAAGAGUCAAUUAAAAGGGACACUUUCCAACAUCAGAACUCUAGAA